rnacentral:rRNA from 1 species
AAUAGCCUAACGGCUGAACCAGCAACUUGGAGGAAUGUAUAGCUAAGCUAUAUGUUUUUGUAAAAAAAACAUAUUCGAUUUACUCGUAUAAAGUUCUAGGUAGAGUUAUGAUAAUGACAUUAUCUAUCUAUAUGUCUUGACAAACAUGCGUGCCAGCAGUCGCGGUAAGACGCUAAAGACUAGUGUUAUUCAUCUUUAAUGGGUUUAAAGGGUACCUAGACGGUAAAUAAAGCCUUAACCGGGACUAAUUUAACUAGAGUUAAAGGUAAGGGUGCAUUAACGUACUAUUGAGUGGAGAGAUGAAAUUCUUUGAUACCAGAUUACUGGCACGGGUAUAGGCGAAAGCAUCGCUUUAUGUAAUAACUGACGUUGAGGGACGAAGGCUUUGUAUCGCUAAAAGGAUUAGAGACCCAAGUAGUCUAAGCAGAAAAUGAUGAGUGUCAUAGGUUAAAUAUUAUUUAGUCUAUAAAUGAAAGUGUAAGCAUUCCACCUCAAGAGUAAUUUGGCAACAUUGGAAUUGAAAUCAUUAGACCGUUUCUGAAACCAGUAGUGAAGUAUGUUGUUUAAUUAGAUAAUGCACAAAGAACCUUACCACAAGUAAACACAUUUGAAUAUUUUACCGGUGUUGCACGGCUGUUUUUAGUUAAUGUCGUGAGAUAGAGGUUCACUCCUAUAAAUUAACGGAAACCCUUACUUUAUUUUUUUAUAUAAAGUAGUUCGCCGCUAUAUGGGUGAGAWAAAAGGGA